CUUUAAAAUUCUGAGGUAAAUUACAGCAGAAAUUUUGUUCACAUCCAUACAUCUCUGGUACUAUCUUCCCAUAGAAGGAAAUCAGCGACUUGAAUUAAUCUAUCAAAGGCCUGCUUGCAAAAAUUGUUUCAUACCUCAAGUCCCUGUCAAAGGGAUAAUGCCAGAAGGAAAAUGAAGUCCAUCAUAAAUAUGACUUGAUUUGGAUGAUACUCAGAACAAUAUCAGCCCCAGCAUUCUCUGAAGGUCUUCAGCACAGAAGACUUUGGACAUCAUCCAGCUCCAUGAUGGCAGCAACCAGCUAUGAACCACAAGGCUGAGUAAAGUGAGGGCUGCACAUUGGCUAAAGUGUUCCUGAAGCACCCCCUCAAACUCACCCAAAACACAGACAAAAAGUCUAGCACCAAAUCCCACAGGUGGUCCAUGGGAGGCAAAUUGUCCUCAGUGAAGAAGGCAUUUCAGUUCCCAAAUGGGUCAUAACUGCACAGGAUGUGACCUGUAGGGAACCUGUGCAUCAUCUCCCUCUUAACAACAGGCUUUCCGACCAUGAUGUAAUAGAGAGAACAUACUUCUGCAGUGUUUCCUGGUGGUACCAUUAAAAAGACAAAUGGCAAUAGCCAUUUGGGAUAUGUAUGCCUCUUCUUCUUUUCUCUGAAUUGCUCUCCAUAGGAGUUAGGCUACAAAAUCUGCAUCACGGGAGCAGGUGAACAUGAAGGCAAGAAAGGCACAGUGUAAGUAUAUAUUAAUAUAUCCUACUGGUGCUGAGAAGCAAGUAACCAUUUGAUUUGCUGAGCACUGCCUAUGGGGG